AGAGUUUGAUCAUGGCUCAGAAUCAACGCUGGCGGCGUGCCUAACACAUGCAAGUCGAACGAGAAAGUGGUAGCAAUACCAUGAGUAAAGUGGCGCACGGGUGAGUAACACGUGACUAACCUACCCUGGAGUGGGGGAUAACUGAGGGAAACCUUAGCUAAUACCGCAUAAUACCUACGGGUCAAAGGAGCAAUUCGCUUUGGGAGGGGGUCGCGGCCGAUUAGUUAGUUGGCGGGGUAAUGGCCCACCAAGACGAUGAUCGGUAUCCGGCCUGAGAGGGCGCACGGACACACUGGAACUGAAACACGGUCCAGACUCCUACGGGAGGCAGCAGUGGGGAAUUUUGCGCAAUGGGGGAAACCCUGACGCAGCAACGCCGCGUGGAGGAUGAAGUCCUUCGGGACGUAAACUCCUUUCGAUCGGGACGAUUAUGACGGUACCGGAAGAAGAAGCCCCGGCUAACUUCGUGCCAGCAGCCGCGGUAAUACGAGGGGGGCGAGCGUUGUUCGGAAUUAUUGGGCGUAAAGGGUGCGUAGGCGGUUUGGUAAGUCUCUUGUGAAAUCUAUGGGCUCAACUCAUAGUCUGCAAGGGAAACUGCCGGGCUUGAGUGUGGGAGAGGUGAGUGGAAUUUCCGGUGUAGCGGUGAAAUGCGUAGAUAUCGGAAGGAACACCUGUGGCGAAAGCGGCUCACUGGACCACAACUGACGCUGAUGCACGAAAGCUAGGGGAGCAAACAGGAUUAGAUACCCUAGUAGUCC
rnacentral:rRNA from 1 species